GAUGAGAACGUAGCGAAAUGCGAUACGUAAUGUGAAUUGCAAAUUCAGUGAAUCAUCGAGUCUUUGAACGCACAUUGCGCCCCCUGGUAUUCCGGGGGGCAUGCCUGUCCGAGCGUCAUUGCUGCCCUCAAGCACGGCUUGUGUGUUGGGCCCCGUCCUCCGAUUCCGGGGGACGGGCCCGAAAGGCAGCGGCGGCACCGCGUCCGGUCCUCGAGCGUAUGGGGCUUUGUCACCCGCUCUGUAGGCCCGGCCGGCGCUUGCCGAUCAACCCAAAUUUUUAUCCAGGUUGACCUCGGAUCAGGUAGGGAUACCCGCUGAACUUAAGCAUAUCAAUAAGCGGAGGA
rnacentral:misc_RNA from 1 species